rnacentral:rRNA from 1 species
GAUGAACGCUGGCGGCGUGCCUAAUACAUGCCAGUCGAGCGAACAGACGAGGAGCUUGCUCCUCUGACGUUAGCGGCGGACGGGUGAGUAACACGUGGAUAACCUACCUAUAAGACUGGGAUAACUUCGGGAAACCGGAGCUAAUUCCGGAUAAUAUAUUGAACCGCAUGGUUCAAUAGUGAAAGACGGUUUUGCUGUCACUUAUAGAUGGAUCCGCGCCGCAUUAGCUAGUUGGUAAGGUAACGGCUUACCAAGGCAACGAUGCGUAGCCGACCUGAGAGGGUGAUCGGCCACACUGGAACUGAGACACGGUCCAGACUCCUACGGGAGGCAGCAGUAGGGAAUCUUCCGCAAUGGGCGAAAGCCUGACGGAGCAACGCCGCGUGAGUGAUGAAGGUCUUCGGAUCGUAAAACUCUGUUAUUAGGGAAGAACAAAUGUGUAAGUAACUAUGCACGUCUUGACGGUACCUAAUCAGAAAGCCACGGCUAACUACGUG